UACGAGAGGCCCAAACGUUAUUCGGAAUUACUGGGCGUAAAGCGCACGUAGGCGGCUUUGUAAGUUAGAGGUGAAAGCCCCGGGCUCAACCUGGGAAUUGCAUUCGAGACUGAAUAGCUAGGGUACGGUAGAGGGAAGUGGAAUUUCCGGUGUAGCGGUGAAAUGCGUAGAUAUCGGAAGGAACAUCAGUGGCGAAAGCGACUUCCUGGACCAGUACCGACGUUCAGGCACGAAAGCGUGGGGAGCAAACAGG
rnacentral:rRNA from 1 species